rnacentral:rRNA from 1 species
UACGUAGGGUCUGAGCGUUGUCCGGAAUUAUUGGGCGUAAAGAGCUCGUAGGCGGUUUGUCGCGUCUGCUGUGAAAUCCCGAGGCUCAACCUCGGGUCUGCAGUGGGUACGGGCAGACUGGAGUGCGGUAGGGGAGAAUGGAAUUCCUGGUGUAGCGGUGGAAUGCGCAGAUAUCAGGAGGAACACCGAUGGCGAAGGCAGUUCUCUGGGCCGUAACUGACGCUGAGGAGCGAAAGCGUGGGGAGCGAACAGG